CUAAGCGCUCGCAAGCUUGUUUACAGAGCCGAAAACAAACGUUUGUACAAGACCAGGCAAUUACAAGAACGGCUCCCAGGAUUCCAGGAAUUCAUCUGUCCUUGGACAAGUGGGGCUUACAGAAGAAAGAAAAUCUACUGAAGCAUUUGGGAUGCCCAUUCACUUUGUUGUUACCAUUUUGAAAGCAGGGCCACUGUCAUACAGAAGCCUGGAAGAGUGAAGAGAGGCCUGAUUGAUCACAAGGUUGUAUCGGAUGUCAAAGCGGGCCCUGGCUGACCUCCCAUCUACCCAGAGCCGCCUGAUCUAAUCUCCACACUAGCCGCUUCUCCCUGCCGGGAGUUCCAUCUGCAAACCGUGCUUCAGCGCUACGACCUACAUCAGGCUCCAUUCAUCUUAUCUGAAGGAAGGAAAUUAAACUAGAGGGUUGAAAGAGGAGACUGCUCAAAGUAUAUACACAUCAACUGAAGCCUUUUGUGUGGGUGCAUUUGAGGAGCUUGAGCAGCCAUUAAAAAAAUGAUAUGAAAAUGGAA